GACGAACCGUCCAAACGUUGUUCGGAAUCACUGGGCUUAAAGGGCGCGUAGGCGGUCGACCAAGUCCAGGGUGAAAUCUUUCGGCUUAACCGGAAAACAGCCCUGGAUACUGGCUGACUAGAGGGAGGUAGGGGCAUGUGGAACUUCCGGUGGAGCGGUGAAAUGUGUUGAUAUCGGAAGGAACACCGGUGGCGAAAGCGACGUGCUGGACCUCUUCUGACGCUGAGGCGCGAAAGCUAGGGGAGCAAACGGG
rnacentral:rRNA from 1 species